rnacentral:piRNA from 1 species
UGACCAGUCUGGGUAUCUGCCCGCCGUCU